UAGGGAAUUUUCACAAUGAGCGAAAGCUUGAUGGAGCAAUGCCGCGUGAACGAUGAAGGUCUUUAAGAUGUAAAGUUUUUUAUUUGGGAAGAAUGACUUUAGCAGGUAAUGGCUAGAGUUUGACUGUACCAUUUUGAAUAAGUGACGACUAACUAUGUGCCAGCAGUCGCGGUAAUACAUAGGUCGCAAGCGUUAUCCGGAUUUAUUGGGCGUAAAGCAAGCGCAGGCGGAUUGAAAAGUCUGGUGUUAAAGGCAGCUGCUUAACAGUUGUAUGCAUUGGAAACUAUUAAUCUAGAGUGUGGUAGGGAGUUUUGGAAUUUCAUGUGGAGCGGUGAAAUGCGUAGAUAUAUGAAGGAACACCAGUGGCGAAGGCGAAAACUUAGGCCAUUACUGACGCUUAGGCUUGAAAGUGUGGGGAGCAAAUAGGAUUAGAUACCCUAGUAGUCCACACCGUAAACGAUAGAUACUAGCUGUCGGGGCGAUCCCCUCGGUAGUGAAGUUAACACAUUAAGUAUCUCGCCUGGGUAGUACAUUCGCAAGAAUG
rnacentral:rRNA from 1 species